GACCCUACCUCAGUGAGACCCUUGUUGCCUGUCUGCUGACAGACAGCGCGGCUGAGGAAGCGGGGCUCCAGACUGGAGAAGCGCUGGCUGGCAGUGGCACCGAGGUCACCAGUGUUGAGCUUGCAGAAGCUGUGCACCUUGCAAGGAAAGGUCCAGACAUCUUGAUUCUGAAGGUGGGAUCUGGCAGCACCAUUGUUCCAAUACCCCUGG
rnacentral:lncRNA from 1 species